AAGUCGUAACAAGGUUUCCGUAGGUGAACCUGCGGAAGGAUCAUUACAGUAGUCGCCCGGGUUGCCGCAAGGCCUCCCGGGCAACCUACCACCCUUUGUUUAUUACACUUUGUUGCUUUGGCAGGCCUGCCCUCGGGCUGCUGGCUCCGGCCGGCGAGCGUCUGCCAGAGGACCUAAACUCUGUUUGUCUAUACUGUCUGAGUACUAUAUAAUAGUUAAAACUUUCAACAACGGAUCUCUUGGUUCUGGCAUCGAUGAAGAACGCAGCGAAAUGCGAUAAGUAAUGUGAAUUGCAGAAUUCAGUGAAUCAUCGAAUCUUUGAACGCACAUUGCGCCCCCUGGUAUUCCGGGGGGCAUGCCUGUCCGAGCGUCAUUACAACCCUCAAGCUCAGCUUGGUGUUGGGCCCCGCCGCCCCGGCGGGCCCUAAAGUCAGUGGCGGUGCCGUCCGGCUCCGAGCGUAGUAAUUCUUCUCGCUCUGGAGGCCCGGUCGUGUGCUCGCCAGCAACCCCCAAUUUUUUUCAGGUUGACCUCGGAUCAGGUAGGGAUACCCGCUGAACUUAA
rnacentral:rRNA from 3 species